UGGAUUUCAACCAAAACUUGGCAUCUAGUGCCCAAGCCAAAUAGUUAUCUCCAGAGAGAUUAAGGGCAGCAAAAUCAAGGCUUGAGAGUUUCAACAUGGUAACUACACAUAAAUAACACCAAUUAAAAAUCAAUUCAAAAAUAUAUAACGAGUAUUAUUAACAUAUGAUUGUAUGUGCACAAAUGCAUUCUAGUAUUUUGCUAUUUAUAAAUAAAAAUAAAGGACUCAUUAUUAUACUUCACGAUACGAUUGCAUGAAACAUGUUGGUACUAAAAUAUAUCAAAUUCUCAACAAAACAAUUUUACUUAUUCUAUUUAAGAAACAAUACCAAAAACGUUUUAAUAAUUUAGUCUUACAAUAAUUGAAUUAAAUAGUGCGAGGCUUCAAAGACAAAAUAAUAUAAACCCAAGCAUAUCAGGAUAAAAUUAUAUUCAACGUAUUAGACAACACCAACUUAUAGAUCUAUUAAAAGUAAUAUUAUAACAAAACAUAGACUUAUAGAUCUAUUAGAAUACUAAACGUUUUAGACAACACCAACUUAUAGAUCUAUUAAAAUAUUAAACGUUUUAUUAUAACAAAGCAUCAAUGACUUAUUAUGAACAAUAUUAUAACAAAGCACUAAUUAUUACUACUUAUAACCGAGCAAAGACCAUAAUCGAGCAGUGAUAGUUGACCAAAAACCAUAAACGAGCAAAUACCAACAUAACUAUUUAUAAUUAUAAUAGAUCACACAAACGAUGAUAUGAGAUGAACCUAUGAUUUAAAUAAACAUUAAAUAGAUUUUGUUGUGUUUACCGAUGGAGGAAAUUGAAAAGUAGAAGUUGGUGAUGUUGGUGAUGAAGAACGUCGGAAACGGCGAAGAACGUCGGAAACGGCGCAACAAAACGGAGGCUAGGGUUUUUUUUGUUUUUUUUUUUUUUUUUUUAGACGGUUAGGGUUAGAGCGUGCUGAUAACGUGUUAAGAAAGAGAUUGAAGGGGUAAAAUCUAUGUUCAUUGUAUUGAUAACCAGAGGGUAUAUAUAGGGAUACAAAUAUGGUGAAUAGACUAAUGGGCCUAUAAUGGGCAUCCACUAAAUCAUUCAUAACAUAAGUGAAUUUAUCUAUAAUAUUUGUAUUUAUAGUCAAAU
rnacentral:lncRNA from 1 species